rnacentral:tRNA from 2 species
CCCGCCAUAGUUUAUAUAAAAACGCCGACUUGCAAACUCGGAGAAGGAAAGAAAAACAUUUUCUGGUGCGU